GAGACAAUAAUAAAGGGACGGGGGGCGGGGGAGUAUGAGUAGUAGUAGUGGUUGGACUGGGCAUCGAGCUAAAAUCUGAUUUGGGCUAUGGCCGCAGGGUUGUUACUGCGGUGGUGUUCCUUAUGCUUUUUACGUAUAGUUCCCAAACGAGGGGGAUAAUCUCAAUGUAAUUUUAGUAAAUCGACGUAGAAGGGGAGUUAACGAAGGGGCGAAGUUUGGGCUCUGAUUCAAAGUCCCGCUGAACAAAACGGGCAGAAAACGAGACUCGAUUUAGUUUAGCCUUGAAUGAAACUUGGGUUCUAAACUCAAUGGGCUUUAAUAUUUUGUGUAACAUAUUCGUUUAGGCCGUGAUUUUCGUUUCCCCGAUUUCGGUAGAACAUGUUAAUCGGAAAACAGCAGCAGAUUGAGAUCCGUAUGAUGUGAUGUCAUGAGGAUGGGACCCAGAAGCGGCGUGUCGGGUGAAGCCAGCCCUGGGGGCUGACCCGCUGGGUCCUGAUCGGCCCUGCCAGGAUGCACGUGGCGUCGGUGGGCGUCAGCAAGCUCUGCUUCCUGUUGUCUCUGGCGCUCUGCGGCCUGCUGCUGAUCCUCAUCCCCGCCUUCCAGGCCCCCCAGCGCCGCCAGGGGGAUCCGCCGCAGCCCCGGCCCCGCGCGAGGCCCUCCUGGGCGGGCAGCGCCGGUGUGGCGGCCCCCGACCACCUCCAGAGGUCGGGUAUAGGGAUAGGUAGUACGGGGCUACGCAAGAGAUCCAAGGAGCCUGGAGCUACCACCAGCGGGGACUAUGAACCGUGGAGGAGGGGCGCCGAUGCCCUCCGAAGCCCAGCGGGAGGCCUCCUCCCGCAGGGGGAGGAGGGUGGACUCAAGGGGUUGGGUAGGGGGUCCCGGGACCCUCUCAAUCCAAAGGAUGUGUUCAUUGCUGUGAAGACCACCAAGAAGUACCACCGCUCCAGGCUGGAGCUGCUCCUCCAGACAUGGGGGUCCCAAGCUAAAGAGCAGACAUAUAUAUUCACUGACGGUGAGGACAGCGAGUUACGAAAAAGAGCAGGAGGGGUCAACAUCAUCAACACCAACUGCUCCGCCGCACACACACGCCAGGCCCUCUGCUGCAAGAUGUCUGUGGAGUACGACAAGUUCAUCGAGUCUCAGAAAAAGUGGUUCUGUCACGUGGACGACGACAACUAUGUGAUCCUCCCCAGUCUGCUGCGCCUGCUGUCCUCCUACCACCCCAGCCAGGACGUGUACCUGGGCCGGCCCAGCCUGGACCACCCCAUCGAGGCCGCCGAGAGGGUCAAGAGCGACGGAUCGGUGUCUGUGAAGUUCUGGUUUGCAACCGGUGGAGCUGGGUUCUGCAUCAGCCGAGGUCUGGCGCUGAAGAUGAGCCCCUGGGCGAGUCUGGGCAACUUCAUCAGCACGGCGGAGAAGAUCCGUCUCCCUGACGACUGCACCAUCGGUUACAUCAUCGAGGCGUUGCUGGAGGUGCGGCUGGCGCACACGUACCUGUUCCACUCCCACCUGGAGAACCUGCAGAAGCUGCCCACGGACACGGUGCUGGACCAGGUGACACUGAGCUAUGGAGGGUUUGAGAACAGGAGGAACGUGGUCGCGGUGGGGGGGCCUUUUUCUCUGGCUGAAGACCCGUCACGGUAAAACACAAAAAACACUGCGUUGCUUUAGUUUGUCGUGUCGCCGACGCAUCACAGAGAGGUUUAAGACGAUCCACUGCCUGCUGUACCCGGACACAGACUGGUGCCUCGCGGGGAACCCAGGAGGACACUUCUGAAUACCUCAGCACCUCCAUCGCUACCGCCAAAACUACCACCACCACCAAUACCAUCAACUGCCCUUUUUCCAAUGGACCACACUGGCCUAGCUUGACUCGUUUUGACUUUCCGUGACAGCUGGGAUUUGCGUCCCGUCCCCCAUUACCACAGGGCUGAGGGUGUCUGACCUUAAACCGGUAAUUGAAACGCAUGUCAGUGCGGCUCGGUUUGACUCGGCGCGGCCAAAGGUGCCAAUGGAGAAAGGCCAGCACUGCCAUCACAAGUCUAUCCCCUUCCUUGAAACUGCCACUCUCUACUGCCCUUCUUUCUGCUACAUGGCACCUCUCUGCUCCAACACACACACUAUGAACCAGUAAACAAUACUGACUAUUUCAUUCUUUGUGUGUUAAAUGGAGAGCUACUGCCUUCGUUGAGAACAGUUCUUCAGUGAUUGUUUUCCUGUGGUUUGGAUGGACUGGCCCCUCGCUAAAUGAAGUGUUGCUAUGGCGAUAUGUUAUGGACUUUUUUUUGUGUGUUUUUUGAUGCCAAGCUAAAGCGCUUGGAAUCUGAAAUGGUACUGAGCUAAAUCACAAUUAUUUUUACCUGCAGUAUUUUGUGUGCGCAGGGCGCACUACUGCUAUGACCGCUCUGUGCUUUCUUGCCAAACCCCUUUUGUGAUGUUGUCUGUUGACUGCAUCCAACAGGCUAAUGUUCAAAUGUCCGAUAUCAUUCCUGUGCAUUACCUUCAAUGUAUUUUAUUAUGUUUUUUUUACAAUGAAAAUACAAGUGUUGCUGGUUCCCUUUUA